ACAUAAGCAACGCACAAGCGCAAUCAACAAUAGUAUCUAUCAAAAUGAGAAUCCGUUUGUUCCAUUCCCUUUGUUUUACCUGACACGAAUACUAAUGACGGGUGUAUGACGAUUCGGCCGAAGAAGCCAUAUAGCCCCCAUACCAUUACGUCCCAAAAUAACCCGUGACUACUUUUGUGUUGUAAUUGCUAUCAUGUUAAUUUUAAUGCGCCCAACAGUAAGUUUCGACCCAAUUAUGAUAUCUGAUGAACCAGAGAUUCGUAAAAGGGAAUAUCAUAUAUGGCGGACAUGGUGCUAUCUUGAGUUGAAAAAUAACAACAAUGAUCAGGAUCAUCCAAGCACGGCCAUUUCAGGCUAGUUUCAGAGUCCAAUGCUGAUGGCUGGACGACAGAGAAUAAGGUGAGGUGCUGUACAAACCAGAAAGUUGCAUAUGUAUGUACAGUAUAUAUAUUAAGUUAUUUUCUUUGAAAUAAAAUCAUGUUUUUUUAUCAAAAUACACAAAUUACAGAAAUGGUAAAGAUACCAAUACAUUUGUACAUACAAAUGUAGCAAAUCCCUUAUUUCUAUUAUCAGUUUUAAUUAUAGCAAAAUGUAAGCACACUAAACUUUAAGAGCCAUAAUACAGGUGUUUUUUUCCAAUAAGUAAUAAAUGUAGUUGAAACAAGCAUUACUGAAUGGAGAUAAAUGAUUCGCAAUGACUACAUUUACCUACAUAUACAUAUAUAGCUUGUACUAACUUGUUUAAUAUUAAUCCAUAUCAUGUCAACUUCUCAAGUUCAAUAGUUCAUUCAAUUCAUCAGUAGAGGGUGAGUUUACGAGCGUUUAUAGCUGCGGCAGUGACAUACCCUCUACA